GUCUUACUUACAGAUACGUGUCCGCUUUCUCUUUCUCCACCGUUUUGUUCUCCAAUCAAAGUGUUACAAAUUAUCAUCUCUCUCUCGAUCAAAGACUAUUCGCUACCUCCAACCGCUUUGCAAUUAUAGCAUCGUCCCUCUUUCCUUUUUUUCUCUAUCUCCACCCGAUUGUUAACUUCUACAUGUUCCUAAUUUUCCAGAUACCACCAACGGUGGCGCUUCUCUGAAAUCACAGAUUAAAUCCGAACCUCCUUCUCAGCCGAUAAUCAACAUAUGAUUGUGGGUAAUUUCUGAAAACGAAAAUUAGGGGUUACCUGUAUAAAAACCUUCGAUAGAGAGACGAAACAGGGCUAAUGACAUCGAUACUGGACGAGGUUGCUUCUGGUAUAGGUAUUUCUACUCAAACUCUAACUUUCCAGCACUAAAUCAAGUUUUUGUGUUAUCUUCGUUAUCAUCUUCAAGGAUCUUCCAACUUCUAUAACGCUUAUAAUCCUCCAACUUCCGUUUUUUGCUGCCGCCGUCGACAACAAACGAGGCCAAAAAUCAAGGCUUUCAGUUGGAAUCUAUUGGACUGCAACGACAAGUUCAAGCUCUCCAGUUGUUUCCUACCGACUGGAUUAGAAAGAGAGAGAAAUGGGGGAUCUGUAUCCGUUGGAUAUCGAUGGAGUUCUGUGUGAUAGCUACAGAGAGAGCUCGAUUUCUGCUGUUAAGGUAUCUUUUUCUAAUUCAGACACAGACACACACACACACACACACACACUCUUCUACGGUAAAUUGAGCUUUUUGUGUAAACGUAUAUGUAAAUUUACGUAUGUAAAUCGGUAGAAUUGAAAGAUUAAAUUGGUUCAGCUGACUGAGAUUGGUAUUUUUAAUCGACUGUUACCCCUAAUUUCUUUUCCGGUUUCGUUUUUGGAGUUGAGUCCGACAUCUAAAGGCUUGAAGACAAACCAUUGUUUCCCUACGAUAAUUUGGGUUGUGUAUAUUCAACUUUGUUUCCACAUCGAAUCUUAAUUUGUUGUUUUCGCUGUAAAAAGAUGUAGCAGAGCGAAGAAAGGGAGCUGUAGAGUACCCAUUUGCAGAAGAGAUUGACACACAUCAUUUGAAAAGGAAGGUUUCUGGUGUAAUUUUUUUAUCUUAUUCCUUCUCAGACUAAUGGGCAACAAAAAAGGGAGCCGAAAGAAAAUUGGUUCUUUUCUUUUUGUUCUUUUGCUGCUUAAUUCUCAAUUGGGACCAAUAUUUUGUUGGUUUGGUUCUUACUUUAUUAACACGUAGUUUGAAUCUAUGGUUUUAGUGUUUUCUGUGUUCUUUACACUUACUUUUUGCCUGAAAAUUCUAUAUUUAAUUAAGUUUUGGUAAAUAACAUAAGGGCUUCAACAUCAAUAAUUUAUCUGCAUAGUUUUUAUUAUUAAAGAUAUCUAUUUCAGUUGUUUUUUGUGAGUUUUGACAGUAUAAUCAACGAUUUUUUACAAGUGGUUGUUGAUGGGAAGAAAGAGAAAGUAUGUGAUCUUUAGGACAUCUUUAUGGAUAUCUAAUAUGAAAGGAAAAACAGGUGGAAGUAAAACUUUAGACUGGAGAAACCAAAAUUUGCAAGAGGACAUCAUAUAUGAUUGUGGAAAGAGCUUGAACCCUGAUGUGGAUUUUGGGACAUGUUGAAGAAGCUUUUAACGACAAAUAGAAAACUUGGACUUUAUCCUAAGAUGCAAUUCCAACAGGUUAAAUUUCAUACUAAAAUUUAUUUAUUAGUAUGUUACUUUUCAGUUAUAAACAUUGAUUUUGUAACUGAAAACAUUUAUUUGGAUUGCUAUUCCAUUUAUUUUAAAAAAUUACCAUUC